AUCCAGUUGAUGAGUUUCAAAUAGGACGAAACUCGUGUGCUGGAU
rfam:Schistosoma mansoni strain Puerto Rico chromosome 5, complete genome